AAAAUAAUGCAUAUGCAUUUAUUUCCAUGGAUUUGAUGUGAGAAGGGGGAGUCCACAGCCUGUGAUUUUCCAUCAACUGAAUACUUUUUCAAAUGUACUAUGAAGCACAUUUGCAUCUCUUUGUUUCUGAUAUUAUCUCUGUUAUCCUAGAAAGUUGAUUGUGCAGUUACUAUGAGACUCAGUUCACUGAUGGAGAAACUAAGAGAGCACAGUUAAUUAUGAUAAUUCCCUAUAUUUAACAUUUGGAUUUGUUUGCUUUGUGUUUUUUGUUGUGUUUGUUGGUUUUGAGAUGGAGUCUCACUCUGUCACCCUGGCUGGAGUGCAGUGGUAUGAUCUCGGCUCACUGCAACCUCUGCCUCCCGGAUUCAAGCAAUUCUCCUGCCUCAGCCUUCUGAGUAGCUGGGAUUACAGACAUGUGCCACCACAACCGGCUAAUUAUUUGUAUUUUUUUUGUAGAGACAGGGUUUCUCCAUGUUGCUCAGGCUGGUCUCGAACUCCUGUCCUCAAAUAAUCCACCUGCCUCGGCCUCUCAAAGUGCUGGGAUUACAGCCGUGAGCCACUGCACCUGGCCUGACAUUUGAACCUUGUCUUCCCCAAUGCAGCAUCAGUUUUGCAUGCUCAGAGAUGGUUGUUCCAAGUUCUUGGAGGUACAGAGUAUCUGGGACACUGGACACAGGGCAGGCAGAGACUUUCCCCAGUGCCAACCCCAUUCUCUGCAUCUCAGAUUCCUCGGUAACUUCAUGUCAUGGAAUUCUAACAAGUUUUGGCUGAUUGAUAUAGCAAAACAACAAAGACAGGCUUGAAAAAAGACAGAUGGGGCAAAUGUGGAAGGUGGCGGCCACUUUAAAUGACAGCUCCGCAACGGACAAAAACGGGCUCUCCUCAUUAUGUUCAUGGAACACCAAAUAUGAAGAAAUCAAGCUGCUUUAGGACUGAGACCCUUAUGGCAGCUCAUAUUGCAUUGGGAAAAAAUGUUAACAUUAAUAAGUUACAUAAGAAAAAUGUCCAAGAUCAACACAUUCAAGGCCAUUAUAAAUACUAGCAUAUACAUUCAGAAAUGCAAUUACACCAUCAGCAUGAACACGCAGGAAAAGAAAAUUCCUAUUUGCAUGGCUGUGAGGUUUCUUCUGGUUGCCAGCAAUUUCCAGAGUGUAUUGAAAUUUUCAAAUUAACUGAGGACAUUUUAGUCAAUUUUAUCUCUCAAUGCUUUUGUGUCACUUUUUCUUCAAGGUCUGUGCAUUUUGCUGAUUGAAAUGCUCAAACAUUUAUUCAUUUAUUCAUCUCAAAGGCACAGAUCAUCAUUAUGACUUUUUUUUUUUGAAAAAAUAGUGUCAGAACUUUCUAAUGUUCUUUUCUGUCUCUUUUCUCCAAAUACUUUCCCUCUUCAUAACCCUCUUUCUCCCCAGGGGACUUUCUAUUGCUUCUAUAGGGAAUUUUUUCAACGUCUGGUCUUUAAAAAGAAUUCCUCUUUAAUCCUAAAGCAUUCUAUGGAGAAAUCAGUUUCCAGAAGUUAGAAUAAAAUUCCAUGUGCAUGCCUGGGUCUGGGACAGGGUGCGGGAAAAGAAGAAAUGUUGGUAUGUAAUCUUAAAAUUCAAAUGCUGUUCAGUAGUGGCAUACCAUCUGAACUAGCUGCAAAUGGUAAAUAAACCCAGCUUGUAACUUAAUGAUCCUUGUGUUUGUGUGUCUGUGAAUACAUUAAGAACUCUCAAAGAAAAAAUUGUGGAAUCAUAAAUAAAAGACAGCAGUGAAUCACAGACAGUCACACAGAAACAAGACACCAUCCUCCCAUAUGCCUGUGUGGAUAUUGAUGUGGGUUCCUCACCUUUUCGGUUUGCAGUGGCAGCAUGAGACCCACUCUAGAUGCUGUGGCACAGGGAGAGGUUUGAUGGUCUUCAUUACAUAUUGUCUGCCCUGCAAAAAUCAUCUGCUUUGCUUGGAAUUGAUUUCAAAACCAGAUUCAUGCAGUGCCUGUUACACCACGAUAAACAAAUAAAUUAGCUGCUGCAAUAUGGAAAUUUACAUGAUUCAGUGUACUUAAAAACUGUUAACUGUGAACUUAUUAAUUGAAAGCCACAGGACAAUAAUCAGCAUGUCCUUCAGUAGGAAAACGAAUCUCUUGUUAAAGCGAAUUUGUAAGGCAAUAAAG
rnacentral:lncRNA from 10 species